CCCCUUUUUGGAUCAGACCUGGAGAGUUUCUAGUACUCUACCAGUCUUGACUACAGGAGGGAGAUUUAACCAGAGGCAUACCCAUUCCAUUCCUAGCUUGGACAGUGGCUAGUGAGUGGAAGGCAAUCUGCUACAAUU